rnacentral:lncRNA from 1 species
CCGGAUAGUGCAUCCCGGCCACGGCGCGCCUGCUCUGGGCUCUCCGCGUGCCGCGUCGCUUUCUUUUCUUCCUCUGGAGCAGUUAUGGCGGCGGCGAAGACCCUGAACCCCAAGGCCAAGGUGGCCGGAGCGCAGGCGGCGCUGGCGUUCAACAUUAGCGGGGCGCGGGGUCUGCAGGACGUGCUGAGGACCAACCUGGGGCCCAAAGGGACCAUAAAGAUUGUUAUUGUGUGUUUAUUGUAGGGCCUUCAUCCCAGAAUAAUCACUGAAGGAUUUGAAGCUGUGAAGGAAAAGCCCUUCAUUUUUUGGAAGAAGUCAAAGUAAGCAGAGAGAUGGACAAGGAAACACUUAAAGAUGUGGCCAGGGCAUCUCUUUGUACUAAAGUUCAUGCUGAACUUGCAGAUGUCUUAACAGAGGCUGUAGUGGGCUCCAUUUUGGCCAUUAAAAGAAAAGAUGAACCUAUUGAUCUCUUCAUGAUUUUGUGAUCAUUGACAAGAAACAUAAAUCUGAAACUGAUACAAGAGAAGUGAAUUCUGGCGUUUUUUACAAGAGUGCAGAAAGAGAAAAACUCAUAAAAGCUGAAAGAAAAUUCAUUGAAGAUAGAGUUAAAACAAAUAAUAGAACUGAAAAGGAAAGUCUGUAGUAAUUCAGAUAAAGGAUUUGUUAUUAAUCAAAAGGGAAUUGACCCCUUUUCCUUAGAUGCUCUUUCAAAGAAGGCAUAGUCGCUCUUCACAGAGCUAAAAGGAGGAAUAUGGAGAGGCUGACUCUUGCUUGUGGUGGGGUGGCCCUGAAUUCUUUUGAGGACCUAAGUCCUGACUGCUUGAGACAUGCAGGACUUGUAUAUGAGUAUACAUUGGGAGAAGUUCACCUUUAUUGAGAAGUGUAACAACCCUCGUUCUGUCACAUUAUUGAUCAAAGGACCAAAUAAGCCCACACUUAGAUCAAAGAUGCAGUAAGGGAUGGCUUGAGGGCUGUCAAAAAUGCUAUUGAUGAUGGCUGUGUGGUUCCGGUGCUGGUGCCGUGGAAGUGGCAAUGGCAGAAGCCCUGAAUAAAUAUAAGCUCAGUGUAAAGGGCAAGGCACAGCUUGGAGUCCAAGCAUUUGCUGAUGUGUUGCUCGUUAUUCCCAAGGUGAGCCCGUGGUAGCAGCAGAAGCAGGCAUUAUGGGAUAACGAUUGUGUAAAGAAACAGCUUCUUCAUUCCUGCACUGGUUGCCACCAACAUUCUCUUGGUUGAUGAGAUCAUGCGAGCUGGAAUCUUCUCUGAAAGGUUGAAUUGAAGCUUCCUCUGUAUCUGAGUCUUGAAGACUCUGCAAAGUGAUCCUGAAGAAUACAGCUGUGGAAUUUUUGUCCAAGCUUCAAAUGAGUUUCAAGGGAAUUUUCCCAUGUGAAAAAAGGAGAGAACACUGGCAUCUGUUGAAAUUCGGAAGUUCUGAAAUUAUAAUCACAGUAUUUUUUAAAAAUUGCACUGAAGUGUACACAGAUAAAGCAGGUCUUUCACCCAGUGAACAGGAUGUUUUGCUUUAGCAGCAGUGACAUAAAAUUCCAUGUUAAAUAAGCAUAUAUUACCUACCUUAUUAAAUAUUCCUUGAAAAAGCAGAUUUUAAUGGUUUAAUUUUAUGUGGACAUAUGUUAAAUUAUUCAGCAGUACCCUAUUGUUAAGCAUCUGGUUUUAAAAUUUUUAUGCUAAUAUAAAUAACGCUUAGUAAUUUAAAAUUUUGGAAGCAUCCCGUUAGUGUAAAUUUCUGAGUAAAUUUAUUGAUCAGUUGGACUUUUCACGCUUUUGAAAUAGCUUUGCUAAAAUGCUCCCCCUACAAAGUUGUAGGAAAUGGGAAGAGGAGUAAACUAGAGGCAAGGGAGUUGAGAGAGCUGGAAGGCAUGGUGGCUAAGGGCUACGGUUAUCAGGUGAAAUUUGAGAUUUGUAGGCUGACUAUAUUUUCAAGCUUCUGAACUUUUGCUUAUGCAAAAUAUUCAUCCCAAAGCCUCUAGCGUCAUAGUUUCCUCACCCAAAUUACUAUGUUUCCACAAGAUUUAUAUAGUUGGUCUAUCUCUGCGGUCCUUGAAAGUGAAGUUGGUGUUACUAGGCUGUGGGUUUUGGGGGCUCAGCAGUGACCUGGAGUGUGCAAAUAAAUGUUAAGUUGAAACCUC